rnacentral:rRNA from 1 species
UUCAGUUGCCAUCGGGUAAUGCCGGGCACUCUGGAAGGACUGCCAUCGACAAGAUGGAGGAAGGUGGGGAUGACGUCAAGUCAUCAUGGCCCUUAUGUCCAGGGCGACACACGUGCUACAAUGGCCGGCACAACGGGAAGCGAGUUCGCGAGGACAAGCGGAUCCCUUAAAGCCGGUCGCAGUUCGGAUUGAAGUCUGCAACUCGACUUCAUGAAGCUGGAAUCGCUAGUAAUCGUGGAUCAGCCAAGCCGCGGUGAAUACGUUCCCGGGCCUU